CCUACGGGAGGCAGCAGUGAGGAAUAUUGGUCAAUGGACGCAAGUCUGAACCAGCCAUGCCGCGUGCAGGAAGACGGCUCUAUGAGUUGUAAACUGCUUUUGUACGAGGGUAAACGCAGAUACGCGUAUCUGUCUGAAAGUAUCGUACGAAUAAGGAUCGGCUAACUCCGUGCCAGCAGCCGCGGUAAUACGGAGGAUUCAAGCGUUAUCCGGAUUUAUUGGGUUUAAAGGGUGCGUAGGCGGUCGUGUAAGUUAGAGGUGAAAUCCCGAGGCUCAACUUCGGAAUUGCCUCUGAUACUGGUCGGCUAGAGAGUAGUUGCGGUAGGCGGAAUGUAUGGUGUAGCGGUGAAAUGCUUAGAGAUCAUACAGAACACCGAUUGCGAAGGCAGCUUACCAAGCUACUUCUGACGUUGAGGCACGAAAGCGUGGGGAGCGAACAGGAUUAGAUACCCCUGUAGUC
rnacentral:rRNA from 1 species